rnacentral:rRNA from 1 species
CCUACGGGUGGCAGCAGUGGGGAAUAUUGGACAAUGGGGGCAACCCUGAUCCAGCCAUGCCGCGUGUGUGAAGAAGGCCCUCGGGUUGUAAAGCACUUUCAGUGAGGAAGAACGCCUGGUGGUUAAUACCCAUCAGGAAAGACAUCACUCACAGAAGAAGCACCGGCUAACUCCGUGCCAGCAGCCGCGGUAAUACGGAGGGUGCGAGCGUUAAUUGGAAUUACUGGGCGUAAAGCGCGCGUAGGUGGCUUGAUAAGCCGGUUGUGAAAGCCCCGGGCUCAACCUGGGAACGGCAUCCGGAACUGUCAAGCUAGAGUGCAGGAGAGGAAGGUAGAAUUCCCGGUGUAGCGGUGAAAUGCGUAGAGAUCGGGAGGAAUACCAGUGGCGAAGGCGGCCUUCUGGACUGACACUGACACUGAGGUGCGAAAGCGUGGGUAGCAAACAGGAUUAGAUACCCUAGUAGUC